CCAAUAGCGUAUAUUAAAGUUGUUGCAGUUAAAAAGCUCGUAGUUGAAUUUCGGGGUUAGUAGGUCGGUCAUGCCUCUGGUAUGCACUGGUCUCACUGAUUCCUCCUUCCUGAUGAGCCGUAAUGCCAUUAAUUUGGUGUUGCGGGGAAUCUGGACUGUUACUUUGAAAAAAUUAGAGUGUUUAAAGCAGGCUAACGCUUGAAUACAUUAGCAUGGAAUAAUGGAAUAGGACGUUCGACCCUAUUUUGUUGGUUUCUAGGAUUGACGUAAUGAUUAAUAGGGAUAGUUGGGGGCAUUAGUAUUCAAUUGUCAGAGGUGAAAUUCUUGGAUUUAUUGAAGACUAACUACUGCGAAAGCAUUUGCCAAGGAUGUUUUCAUUAAUCAAGAACGAAAGUUAGGGGAUCGAAGACGAUCAGAUACCGUCGUAGUCUUAACCAUAAACUAUGCCGACUAGGGAUCGGAUGAUGUUAAUUUUUUAAUGACUCAUUCGGCGCCUUACG
rnacentral:rRNA from 1 species